rnacentral:lncRNA from 1 species
GACCAUCCCAGCAAGAGAUCAGAGAUAUUUAGACAUUGACUUUUGAGGAGCUCUUUCUUCCUUCAGAACUGAUGACAUAACAAAGCGUGAGGUUGUUCUACAGGUCAAUGGGCUGCAGUGCUAUGGCUGUAACAUCAUCCAGGGCCAGAGGUACGUGGACAUUGGAUGCUCUAACCCAGAGGUCAUCACCUGCACCCACUCACACAAGGGCUUCAAACAUCGCUUCUGCAUCAAGACAGAGAGCACAGCCCUGGGAAUUGUCCUGACCAGUGGAUGUGCCACAUCAAGACACUGCCAGCA